rnacentral:rRNA from 1 species
UACGUAGGUGGCAAGCGUUAUCCGGAAUUAUUGGGCGUAAAGAGCGCGCAGGUGGUUGAUUAAGUCUGAUGUGAAAGCCCCCGGCUCAACCGGGGAUGGUCAUUGGAAACUGGUACACUUGAGUGCAGAAGAGGAGAGUGGAAUUCCAUGUGUAGCGGUGAAAUGCGCAGAGAUAUGGAGGAACACCAGUGGCGAAGGCGGCUCUCUGGUCUGCAACUGACGCUGAUGUGCGAAAGCGUGGGGAUCAAACAGGA